rnacentral:lncRNA from 1 species
CCGUACCUAGGUCUAAUGUCUUGCAACAUGCAAGGCCUUCGGCACCCUUGUGCCUAGGCCCAUCGCCUUGCGACAUGCAAUUCUUAUGCCUUCGGUACCCUCGUGCCUAGGCACAUUGCCUUGCGACAUGCAAGCUUUGUGCCUUCGGCAUCCCCUUUGCCUUCGGCACCCCCGUGCCUAGCUCUAUUAUCUUGCAACAUGUAAGUCUUAUGCCUUCGGCACCCUCACGCCUAGGCCCAUCACCUUGCGACAUGCAAUUCUUAUGCCUUCGGCACCCUCGUGCCUAGGCACAUUGCCUUGCGAUAUGCACGCUUUGUGCCUUCGGCAUCCCCUUUGCCUUCGGCACCCCCGUGCCUAGCUCCAUUGUCUUGCAACAUGCAAGUCUUAUGCCUUUGGCACCCUUGUGCCGAGGCCACAUCGCCUUGCAUCAAGCAAACUUUGUGCCUUCGGCACCCUCGUGCCCAGCCACAUUGCCUUGUGACAUGCAAGCUUCAUGUCUCCUUCGGCAUUCUCUUUGUCUUCGGCACCCCCGUGCCUAAACACAUUGCCUUGCAAACAUGCAAGCUUAGUGUCACCUUCGGCACCCUCGUGCCUAAGCCCAUCGCCUUGACACAUGCAAUUCAUAUGCCUUCGGCACCCUCGUGCCCAACCACAUUACCCUGAGGCAUGCAACUUUGUCCCUUCGGCAACCCCUUCACCUUUGGCACCCUCGUGCCAAGUUCUCUCCCUUCCAAAUGUCAUUCUUACCAGGGGACUUGGGGGACUAUGGGUAGUGCACUAUACAGCUUGGAAGAUGAACUAUGGUGUUGCUCGGCCAGUGCACUUAAAAUUACAAGUCCCCAACCAAGAAGUACCUUCUUACUCGAGAACUUGGGGGACUACUGUUUGUACCAUAACUGACCGAGCAACUAGUUAGGCUAGAUCAUUCGAGUGCCAUGCUUUGAGAGGUCAUCACCUUAGCUAAAGAAGCACCACCACAAAUCACAACUCUAAGCAAAGCAAGAGGAGUCCCACAUCGAAAAACUACAAGAGAUGGAGACUCCCCCUCACCUAUAAAAGAAGACUGCUCUUUACUUAGAAGGGGAUCCUGGUCUUGGAUCUAAACCCUUAGGCCUUGGACUCUCUCUUCUGGAUCCAUCUCUGGGCUGGGCUUCUCACUUGUUAUCUUUAUAUUUGGGUCUAAUCCCCUUGUACAAAUGUAAACGAACAUUAUGAGAACACCCUUCUCCGUGGACGUAGCCCAUCAUUCGGGUGAACCACGUAUAUCUUGUCUUCUAUAUGUUUAUCGUUUGUCCAAAUCCUCACACACUUGGUAAAGGUCCUCACCUUCAUCCAUCAUCCAUCACACCUCAUCACUAAGUUGGACUCAACCUUGGCCUAACCAUUUUGAGCAUCAACAAGCUGUUCAUCAACAUUU